AUUGAACGCUGGUGGAAUGCUUUACACAUGCAAGUCGAACGGCAGCACGGACUUCGGUCUGGUGGCGAGUGGCGAACGGGUGAGUAGUGUAUCGGAACGUGCCCAGUCGUGGGGGAUAACGCAGUGAAAAUUACGCUAAUACCGCAUACGAUCUAUGGAUGAAAGCGGGGGAUCGCAAGACCUCGCGCGAUUGGAGCGGCCGAUAUCAGAUUAGGUAGUUGGUGGGGUAAAGGCCCACCAAGCCAACGAUCUGUAGCUGGUCUGAGAGGACGACCAGCCACACUGGAACUGAGACACGGUCCAGACUCCUACGGGAGGCAGCAGUGGGGAAUUUUGGACAAUGGGCGAAAGCCUGAUCCAGCCAUUCCGCGUGCAGGAUGAAGGCCCUCGGGUUGUAAACUGCUUUUGUACAGAACGAAAAGGUUUCUACUAAUACUAGGAGCUCAUGACGGUACUGUAGAAUAAGCACCGGCUAACUACGUGCCAGCCGCCGCAGUAA
rnacentral:rRNA from 1 species